rnacentral:rRNA from 1 species
UACGUAGGGUGCAAGCGUUUAAUCGGAAUUACUGGGCGUAAAGCGUGCGCAGGCGGUUUUGUAAGUCUGUCGUGAAAUCCCCGGGCUCAACCUGGGAAUUGCGAUGGAGACUGCAAGGCUAGAAUCUGGCAGAGGGGGGUAGAAUUCCACGUGUAGCAGUGAAAUGCGUAGAGAUGUGGAGGAACACCAGCGGCGAAGGCGGCAUCCUGGACUGGUCCUGACACUCAGGAGCGAAAGCGUGGGGAGCGAUCCGG